GUGGGGAAUAUUGGGCAAUGGGCGAAAGCCUGACCCAGCAACGCCGCGUGAAGGAAGAAGGCUUUCGGGUUGUAAACUUCUUUUGUCAGGGACGAAAAAAAUGACGGUACCUGACGAAUAAGCCACGGCUAACUACGUGCCAGCAGCCGCGGUAAUACGUAGGUGGCAAGCGUUAUCCGGAUUUACUGGGUGUAAAGGGCGUGUAGGCGGGAAAGCAAGUCAGAUGUGAAAACUAUGGGCUCAACCCAUAGCCUGCAUUUGAAACUGUUUUUCUUGAGUACUGGAGAGGCAGAUGGAAUUCCUAGUGUAGCAGUGAAAUGCGUAGAUAUUAGGAGGAACACCAGUGGCGAAGGCGAUCUGCUGGACAGCAACUGACGCUGAGGCGCGAAAGCGUGGGGAGCAAACAGGAUUAGAAACCCUUGUAGUCC
rnacentral:rRNA from 1 species